AAAACAUGUCUGUAUGGUUGGUGUAUAGAGUCUAGCCUGCCCACUGAUAAGGUUAAAGGGCCGCGGUAUUUUGACCGUGCGAAGGUAGCAUAAUCAUUAGUCUUUUAAUUGGAGGCUUGUAUGAAUGGUUGGACAAAAAGCAAACUGUCUCAAUUAUAUUAUUUGAAUUUAACUUUUAAGUGAAAAGGCUUAAAUGUACUAAAGGGACGAUAAGACCCUAUAAAGCUUUACAAUUAUUUAAUUGAAUUAUAAAUUGUUGGUUUAACUUGGUUUAAUUAAUAGUUGUUUCGUUGGGGCGACGAGAAUAAAAUUAAAGUAACUGUUCUUUUAUAGAUAGUCACAAGUUUAUUUGGUUAAAGAUUGAUCCUUUAUUAAAGAUCAAAAGAUUAAGUUACUUUAGGGAUAACAGCGUAAUCCUCUUUGAGAGUUCAUAUCGACAAGAGGGGUUGCGACCUCGAUGUUGAAUUAAAGUAUCCUUGCGGUGUAGCAGUUACAAGGGAGGGUCUGUUCGACCUUUAAUUCUUUACAUGAUCUGAUCU
rnacentral:rRNA from 1 species